AAAUUUCACCAGGCAUUUUUGGUUUAUGAGUCUGUGACGAUCCGAUUAAAAAUUGCCUCAGGCAAAGUAGACCAAAGUGCAAUUGACCAAGUGUCGUAGGGUAAUAGGGUUCCCCCAGGCAAUCAAAUUUCACCAGGCAUUUUUGGUUUAUGAGUCUGUGACGAUCCGAUUAAAAAUUGCCUCAGGCAAAGUAGACCAAAGUGCAAUUGACCAAGUGUCGUAGGGUAAUAGGGUUCCCCCAGGCAAUAAUUAUCUACUCAAGUAUACUCAAGUAAAAAUCAUUUACUCAAGUAUAAAAUCAUUUACUCAAUUAUACUCAAGUAAAAGGUAUGUAUAUAAUAUAGGGUUCCCCCAGGCAAUCAUUAUCUACUCAAUUAUACUCAAGUAAAAGGUAUGUACAUGAUAAACUACAAUUUAUAAAAAACUUAAAUAAUUUUUUCUAUAGACUCAAGUGUUUUUUUGAAGAAUUAAAUGUUUUUUUGAAGAAUGUUUUUUUGAAGAAAUUAAAAAAUUUUUUUGAAGAAUUAAAUUUUUCAAAAAAAAUAAAGCUUAUAAUAAUAAACUUUAAUCUUUUUUUAAAUUUAAAGUUUAUUAUUAUAAGCUUUAUUUUUUUAAAAAAUUUAAUGUUAUUAUUAUUUUAAGCUUUAUUAUCAGAUAUUUUAAAGCAGCUUUAUUCUAAAUCUGAUAAUAAUCAUAAGCUUUAUAAUCCUAAUUUUUCUCCAGCUGCAAUAUUUAUUUGGCUCCAGACAAUUGUCAGGAAUUGCCAUUGAUAACUUUUGUGAAAGUGCCGCUGAUAAAUUGUAAAUAAUUUAGAUAUCUUUUGCAAAGGAAAUUAAAUAUAUAAUAAGCUGUCAUUAAUUUUUUAAUUUCAGAUUAUUUUCGAGAUUUUAUUCUAAAAUUAUCAAUAUAAUCAAUAUUAAUGACAGCUUAAUUACCCGCAGACUGGGUAAUUCCAGCUCUGCUAACUACCUAAAUAAAAGAUAUCUGGUUGAUCCUGCCUGAACUGAUGUGUUCAUUUCAAAGAUUAAGCCAUGCAUGUAUAAGUUUAAUCGUUUUAACGAGAAACCGCGAACGGCUCAUUACAAUGGCCAUGAUUUACUUGAUCUUGAUUAUCUAAAUGGAUAACUGUGGAAAAGCUAGAGCUAAUACAUGCACCAGAGCUUUGUCCUCUCGGAAAAGCGCAUUUAUUAGAACAAAACCACGCGGCUUCGGCUGCUUCUUGUUGACUCAGAAUAACUAAGCUGACCGCAUGGCCUUGUGCCGGCGGCGUGUCUUUCAAGCGUCCACUUUAUCAACUUGACGGGAGCAUAAUCGACUCCCGUGGUGGUGACGGAUAACGGAGGUUUAAUCGUUUUAACGAGAAACUCCGGGAAUCCUUUGUUUUAACUCCGGGAAUCCGACUGUCUAAUUAAAACAGAGGAGACGGAUGGUCUUUGCAGGACGUUGACCGUGUCUGAUUUCUGCCCAGUGCUCUGAAUGUUAAGCCAAGGAAACUUGAUUAAGCGCGGGUAAACGGCGGGAGUAACUAUGACUCUCUUAAGGUAGCCAAAUGCCUCGUCGGCUAACUACCGACGCGCACGAAUGGAUCAACGAGAUUCCCACUGUCCCUAUCUACUAUCUAGCGAAACCACAGCCAAGGGAACGGGCUUGGCAAAUUUAGCGGGGAAAGAAGACCCUGUUGAGCUUGACUCUAGUCUGACUUUGUGAAGAAUCAUGAGAGGUGUAGCAUAAGUGGGAGUCGUAAGACAACAGUGAAAUACCACUACUUUCAUCGAUUCCUUACUUAAUCGGUAAAACGGGAGUUGUGUCUACGGACCUUCAUUUUUUUUUUAAGACUAGCCACUCGAUGGUUGGUUGACUCGCGCCGUUGACAUUGUCAGGCGGGGAGUUUGACUUGGGCGGUACAUCUGUCAAAUUGUAACGCAGGUGUCCUAAGGCGAGCUCAGAGAGGACGGAAACCUCUCGUUGAGCAAAAAGGCAAAUGCUUACUUGAUCUUGAUUUUCAGUACGAAUACAGACCGCGAAAGCGUGGCUUAUCGAUCCUUUUGAGUUUGUAAAGUUUACAGCAAGAGGUGUCAGAAAAGUUACCACAGGGAUAACUGGCUUGUGGCGGCCAAGCGUCCAUAGCGACGUCGCUUUUUGAUCCUUCGAUGUCGGCUCUUCCUAUCAUUGCGAAGCAGAAUUCGCCAAGCGUUGGAUUGUUCACCCACCAAUAGGGAACGUGAGCUGGGUUUAGACCGUCGUGAGACAGGUUAGUUUUACCCUACUAAAUACUUGUUGCUAUGAUGGUAAUCCUGCUUAGUACGAGAGGAACCGCAGGUUCAGACAUUUGGUUCAUGUGCUUGGUCGAUAGGCCAAUGGCGCGAAGCUACCAUCUGAGGGAUUAUGACUGAACGCCUCUAAGUCAGAAUCCCGCCCAGUCAUGAUAGCAAUAUAUAUCGCUCUCCGGUGUCGGAAGGCAAAAUGUAUGCCACUUUUUGUGGUAGUACAAGCCCCAGUAUCUGGCAUUUUCUUUCUACUAUAAUUGGUAGUUGUUUGCUAAAAGCUUAGCACUCCACGUGCAGGUGUAACGUCGGGGCGCAAAAUCACUUGUAUACGACUUGAAUACUGGUCAGGGGGUUGUAAACAGUAGAGCAGCUCUUCGCUGCGAUCUGCUGAGACUUAGCCCUUGAUCGGAUGAUUU